GAUGAACGCUGGCGGCGUGCCUAAUACAUGCAAGUCGAGCGAACAGAUGAGGAGCUUGCUCCUCUGACGUUAGCGGCGGACGGGUGAGUAACACGUGGAUAACCUACCUAUAAGACUGGGAUAAUUUCGGGAAACCGGAGCUAAUACCGGAUAAUAUAUUGAACCGCAUGGUUCAAUAGUGAAAGACGGUUUUGCUGUCACUUAUAGAUGGAUCCGCGCCGCAUUAGCUAGUUGGUAAGGUAACGGCUUACCAAGGCAACGAUGCGUAGCCGACCUGAGAGAGUGAUCGGCCACACUGGAACUGAGACACGGUCCAGACUCCUACGGGAGGCAGCAGUAGGGAAUCUUCCGCAAUGGGCGAAAGCCUGACGGAGCAACGCCGCGUGAGUGAUGAAGGUCUUCGGAUCGUAAAACUCUGUUAUUAGGGAAGAACAAAUGUGUAAGUAACUAUGCACGUCUUGACGGUACCUAAUCAGAAAGCCACGGCUAACUACGUG
rnacentral:rRNA from 1 species